rnacentral:rRNA from 1 species
UACGGAGGGUGCAAGCGUUAUCCGGAUUCACUGGGUUUAAAGGGUGCGUAGGCGGGCAUGUAAGUCAGUGGUGAAAUCUUCAGGCUUAACCUGAAAAUUGCCGUUGAUACUAUGUGCCUUGAAUAUCGUUGAGGUUUGCGGAAUAUGUCAUGUAGCGGUGAAAUGACUUAGAUAUGACAUAGAACACCAAUUGCGAAGGCAGCAGGCUAAACGAACAUCGACGCUGAGGCACGAAAGCGUGGGGAUCAAACAGG